rnacentral:rRNA from 1 species
UGGGGAAUCUUGCACAAUGGGGGAAACCCUGAUGCAGCGACGCCGCGUGAGCGAUGAAGCCCUUCGGGGUGUAAAGCUCUUUCGGCAGGGACGAAUGUGACGGUACCUGCAGAAGCAGCUGCGGCUAACUACGUGCCAGCAGCCGCGGUAAUACGUAGGCAGCGAGCGUUGUUCGGAGUUACUGGGCGUAAAGGGUGUGUAGGCGGUUUUCUAAGUUCGGUGUGAAAUCUCCCGGCUUAACUGGGAGGGUGCGCCGAAGACUGGGACGCUGGAGUGUGGGAAAGGCAGGCGGAAUUCCUGGUGUAGCGGUGGAAUGCGUAGAUAUCAGGAGGAACACCGGCGGUGUAGACGGCUUGCUAGACCAUAACUGACGCUGAGGCACGAAAGCGUGGGUAGCAAACA